CCUACGGGCGACAGCAGUGAGGAAUAUUGGUCAAUGGGCGCGAGCCUGAACCAGCCAAGUAGCGUGAAGGAUGACUGCCCUACGGGUUGUAAACUUCUUUUAUAAAGGAAUAAAGUGAGGCACGUGUGCCGUGUUGUAUGUACGUUAUGAAUAAGGAACGGCUAACUCCGUGCCAGCAGCCGCGGUAAUACGGAGGCUCCGAGCGUUAUCCGGAUUUAUUGGGUUUAAAGGGAGCGUAGAGGGGUUGUUAAGUCAGUUGUGAAAGUUUGCGGCUCCACCGUAAAAUUGCACUUGAUACUGGCAGUCUUUAUUACAGUUGAGGUAGGCGUCAUUCGUGUUGUAGCGG
rnacentral:rRNA from 1 species